UCCUGGUUAGCUCAGUUAGUAGAGCGACCCAGGGGCCUUUCCACUGGAAAUGGGGAGGUCCCUGGUUCGAUACCAGGACCAGGCG
rnacentral:tRNA from 1 species